ACGGGGCGCAAGGCCGAAAACUUUACAAUGCUGGCAACACGAUAAGGGAACCUCGAGUGCCAGGUUACAAAUCUGGCUGUCGAGAUGCCUAAAAAGCAUUUCAUAGCAAGGGCCGGGCAAGACCGGUGCCAGCCGCCGCGGUAACACCGGCGGCUCGAGUGGUAACCGUUAUUAUUGGGUCUAAAGGGUCUGUAGCCGGCCGGAUAAGUCUCUUGAGAAAUCUGGCAGCUUAACUGUCAGGCUUUCAGGAGAUACUGUCUGGCUCGAGGCCGGGAGAGGUGAGAGGUACUUCAGGGGUAGGGGUGAAAUCUUGUAAUCCUUGAAGGACCACCAGUGGCGAAGGCGUCUCACCAGAACGGACCUGACGGCAAGGGACGAAAGCUAGGGGCACGAACCGGAUUAGAUACCCGGGUAGUCCUAGCCGUAAACGAUACUCGCUAGGUGUCGGCCACGGUGCGACCGUUGUCGGUGCCGUAGGGAAGCCGUGAAGCGAGCCACCUGGGAAGUACGGCCGCAAGGCUGAAACUUAAAGGAAUUGGCGGGGGAGCACCACAACGGGUGGAGCUUGCGGUUUAAUUGGAUUCAACGCCGGAAAUCUUACCGGGACCGACAGCAAUAUGAAGGCCAGGCUGAAGACUUUGCCGGAUUAGCUGAGAGGUGGUGCAUGGCCGUCGUCAGUUCGUACUGUGAAGCAUCCUGUUAAGUCAGGCAACGAGCGAGACCCACGCCCACAGUUGCCAGCGUACUCUCUGGAGUGACGGGUACACUGUGGGGACCGCCGCUGCUAAAGCGGAGGAAGGAAUGGGCAACGGUAGGUCAGUAUGCCCCGAAUAUCCCGGGCUACACGCGAGCUACAAUGGUUGGUACAAUGGAUAUCUACCCCGAAAGGGGACGGGAAUCUCCUAAAACCAAUCUUAGUUCGGAUUGAGGGCUGCAACUCGCCCUCAUGAAGCUGGAAUCCGUAGUAAUCGCGUUUCAACAGAACGCGGUGAAUACGUCCCUGCUCCUUGUACACACCGCCCGUCA
rnacentral:rRNA from 1 species